rnacentral:snoRNA from 16 species
AUAGCCUCCGAAUAACGAGAAGGUGAAAUAUAGGAACACCUUCUGGUUCAGACAGAGGCUUAUAUCAAAACUCGAAUCAGUUUUUGUGAGUGAAAAAGCUCUCCCCUUUUUUGCUCUUCAGAUUCCAAUAUCCUUCAAUGGAUAGAUUCGAAUAUCU